rnacentral:rRNA from 1 species
UACGUAGGGUGCGAGCGUUGUCCGGAAUUAUUGGGCGUAAAGAGCUCGUAGGUGGUUUGUCGCGUUGUUCGUGAAAACUCACAGCUUAACUGUGGGCGUGCGGGCGAUACGGGCAGACUUGAGUACUGCAGGGGAGACUGGAAUUCCUGGUGUAGCGGUGGAAUGCGCAGAUAUCAGGAGGAACACCGGUGGCGAAGGCGGGUCUCUGGGCAGUAACUGACGCUGAGGAGCGAAAGCGUGGGGAGCGAACAGG